rnacentral:rRNA from 1 species
UACAGAGGUCCCAAGCGUUGUUCGGGUUCACUGGGCGUAAAGGGUGCGUAGGUGGUGAGGUAAGUCGGAUGUGAAAUCUCCGAGCUCAACUCGGAAAUGGCAUUGGAAACUACCUUGCUCGAGGGUUGGAGGGGGGACUGGAAUGCUUGGUGUAGCAGUGAAAUGCGUAGAUAUCAAGCGGAACACCAGUGGCGAAGGCGAGUCCCUGGACAACUCCUGACACUGAGGCACGAAAGCUAGGGGAGCAAACAGG